CCUACGGGCGGCAGCAGUGGGGAAUAUUGCACAAUGGGGGAAACCCUGAUGCAGCGACGCCGCGUGAGUGAAGAAGUAUUUCGGUACGUAAAGCUCUAUCAGCAGGGAAGAAAAUGACGGUACCUGACUAAGAAGCCCCGGCUAACUACGUGCCAGCAGCCGCGGUAAUACGUAGGGGGCAAGCGUUAUCCGGAUUUACUGGGUGUAAAGGGAGCGUAGACGGCAGCGCAAGUCUGGAGUGAAAUCCCAUGGCUUAACCAUGGAACUGCUUUGUAAACUGUGCAGCUAGAGUGCAGGAGAGGUAAGCGGAAUUCCUAGUGUAGCGGUGAAAUGCGUAGAUAUUAGGAGGAACACCAGUGGCGAAGGCGGCUUACUGGACUGUAACUGACGUUGAGGCUCGAAAGCGUGGGGAGCAAACAGGAUUAGAUACCCCAGUAGUC
rnacentral:rRNA from 1 species